UACGUAGGGUGCAAGCGUUAAUCGGAAUUACUGGGCGUAAAGCGUGCGCAGGCGGUUCGGAAAGAAGGAUGUGAAAUCCCAGGGCUUAACCUUGGAACUGCAUUCUUAACUACCGGGCUAGAGUAUGUCAGAGGGAGGUGGAAUUCCGCGUGUAGCAGUGAAAUGCGUAGAUAUGCGGAGGAACACCGAUGGCGAAGGCAGCCUCCUGGGAUAAUACUGACGCUCAUGCACGAAAGCGUGGGGAGCAAACAGG
rnacentral:rRNA from 2 species